ensembl:lncRNA
GAAGUGGGGUGCGGGGGGAAGGAAGGCUGCGAAGCUGUCUGGAGAAGGAACUGCGUACCUUCUCAAGGGAAGGCCCCUCAACAAGGAGAGGGUUAGCGUGUGACUCUGCCCUGUGAGAAUCGCUGACAGAGAGAGCUCGGCGGGGACACAAAGGGGACAGAAAGAGGUUUUCAGUGGCACUGGCAGAAAGAAGCAGAAGUGUAGUCCUGCCGUGCAUCAGGAGAGCGUCUGAAGUGAGGCCUCACACCUCUGUUCGCCAUAAGAAGCUUCCAGGCUGUGGUGUGGCCGAGGCUGAAUGCAAAAUACACGUCACUGCCCGAAGUGGAAACAAAACCAAAGAGUUAAAUGUGCUAAAACCGAGGCAAUUGGUUCAUAUUUUACUCAUCAACUCAGGCCGGGGUUUGGACGAGUGAGGGCUGGUAAAUUCGUUGAGUUGGGAAUGUUGCCAUCUGAAGAAAAAUAGACGGGGAAGAGAGAAAGAUGAGCAGAAUGAGCGCCAGUCACAUACGAGACUUCAGAACAAACUUUGACAGUUAAAGUCAUUUUAAUAUUGAAAAAAAGGAGGAUGAAGUUAACGCGAGACAUCACUCUUUUUUUCCUUUGUCUGUAUGGACGUGAAGAAGACGUUCAGUAAAUUGUCAUGUGGAAAUGACCAGCAAUCCGUAUGGGAUGGGGAUUUUCAGUAGACCAGGGAGGUGGGUGGCACCCAGACACAGAGACGAAAUUGGGUAAUCUGGCAAAUUUUUGGAGGGGUGGCAAGAAGAAAUUAAGCAGAAAACACUAUUUCGAAUGGAUUUUAAAUGGGGUAUAGAGAUUAGUCACAUGUUACCCAAUUCUUACUGAACUUGCCACAUUAAAAAAAAAAAAAAAAACAUGAAGUGGUGAUGGUUCAGCUUAAGAACAGAUGACAAAACUGAACCAUGGCUCAGUCCAGAAAGACUUUGUUCUCUGUGCAACAGGAAGAGUACCACCUCCUCAAGUCAUAGCAGGCAUAUCUGGCAUUGCCACAGAGGAACAGGAAAAGUUAGCCACAGAGGAUUAAAAUCUGGGGAGGGUGCUCCUGAGCACUACAUCAGCACAAGCAGGGCUGGCUGCUCGCCCAUCGAUCUGCACGCAUAUCUGUCCGCAGCAACACCGGCAGCCCGCAGUGAGCAACGCCAGCACGAAACGCCACGGUGCUGGGGGAGCACCACAGCCUCGGAGGGAAGGGAUGUGACACUGCAUUCAUCUUUGAGAGCAAACAAAUGGCAUCUUUAACUUGCAGAGGAGCCUAAGCGAAUCUGUGAGACAAACAGCAGUAAAAAUGCACGGUAGCUUUCCAGAUUUCUCAAAGCAAGCCUCAGCUAGACAGUGGAAAUGGCGAGAAUAUUUUAAAACAAAUGAGGACGUCGGUAACGCUGCUUCAUCUGCAUAGUGUAAGCAUCGCCGCUCUACUGACUCCAUCGAAACAAUCACGGAACCCUGAGCUUCUACAUCCUCUGCCACCCCACCUCCCCCCGAAGGAAGAGCGUGCUCUGUACUUCCCUCUCAGCCUAUAAAGGUGUGGCACUCCCGUGGGUGUUAUUGUCACUAAUCUCAUCAGACACGAAGAGCGAGGUUUAAAAAAAAAAAACAAAAAACCAACCACCUUUCGAUUCAGUCAGAAGGCAGCAGUAGCUGAAGCAAUUGCUGUGCCUCUUCCACAAGUGAUUUCCCUCUGGAGUUCACUGAAAUCAGCUGUGGCGAGGGGCAGAACCGGAGAGGGACCGAAUCACGAGAAAACAAAGAUCUAAAUAGAAUGAAGUGAAAGGCACCUUUCACAACCUGAGAACGAACAAAGAAAGGAAGUAGGAAACGUGCAGCUCAAAGAACUCCGUGCGCCCUCGUGUAUGUUGUCCGAAUUCAACCCACCGUGUUCACAAGCCCGUAGCUGUGUGCUUUUUUGAGAACUCUCGGGUUCUUUGAGGUCAUGUGUGCACAGCGGGUUCGGGGAUGCAGACCUAACGCUUCUCACUUUCCUAAGUGCAGCAGCAGUAGGGACGCCGGCUCGUUGGGUAAUUUGUGUAUUCGGAGAGAGGGAGUGAAACCUUAGGAUAGGAUGCACGGGAAGGAGGGUACGAACCCGCCUAAUGGCAAUCGCUUAGCGUUUAAAACAGGAGAUCAGUGCCGCAGCGGUGAGAACUGCUGCAGUCAUCAAAGAAAUACUCUGACGAUCUUUAGUGCCCUACUUUCAGUUCAUUGAAACCACAAAAUCCUGCAUGAAGGCUCGGUCCGUGAGCUCCCUAAAGUGUUAAGAUAAAGUCCGAAUCAAGCAGAAGCAGCAGUGAUGACUUAGCUCUCUCGUUACUGACAUUGCUAGGUCACAGUUCAAUCAGCUCAGAAAAGGUAAUUCUCCUCCUUUCUUUCUUGCAGGUUUUUGACUUUUUCAUACCCUGGUUCCAGUCAAAAGAUGAGAUCUGUCUGAGAACGGAGUUGUUAAGCAUGGAAGAGAUGGCCCAGAGAGGUUUGGGAGUCUCCGUUCCUGAGAACAGCUCACAACACAUCUGGAUAUGGUCCUGAAGAACCUGCUGUAGCUGCCUGUUUUGAGCAGGGGCUUUGGACUAGAUGAUCUCCAGAGAUGCCUUCCCACCUCAGCUCUUCUGUGAUUCUGUAAAGCUGAGGUACGAUUUCCAUGUUAAAAGACACAGGCAUUGUCAUAUCUGCAAAAACAAUAAAUAUUUUUCU